CUAGAGAAAGCAUCCUGGCACCCACAACCUAUCGGUUGUUCUUGAAACAGCAAACAGACGAGGGUCUGUAGCUCAGUCGGUUAGAGCACCGUCUUGAUAAGGCGGGGGUCGUUGGUUCGAUUCCAACCAGACCCACCAACUGACUUUCGCUAACACUGCGCGCUUCGGUGUUGUCGAGCAACUUGCAUACACGAGUAUGCGGCGUUGCUCUCCGCCUUGAAUCGCUUGGUUAUCGAAAGCCAGUCAAGCGUCUAUCAAGGGAUAUGUUUCGGCGUAUCAGCGGGGGAUUAGCUCAGCUGGGAGAGCACCUGCUUUGCAAGCAGGGGGUCGUCGGUUCGAUCCCGUCAUCCUCCACCAGGACCUAAAGCUAAGUACACGAGGUGUGCUUAGCUUUGGCUUCUGGCCAGAAAGCUUAAAUGCUGUUUGCUCUUUAACAAAACGGAAGAAGGUUGUAUCGCGCUGUGAUGAGCAGUGACGAUACAUGUGAUUGCAUCUGAUAUUGACGCUUACAGCUAGGCGUUGAUAUCGGCACAAAUGAGUUGCCUAUGGCCGCUCUCGCGAGAGAGUUCA
rnacentral:tRNA from 1 species